rnacentral:rRNA from 1 species
CCUACGGGGGACAGCAGUGAGGAAUAUUGGUCAAUGGGCGCGAGCCUGAACCAGCCAAGUAGCGUGAAGGAUGACUGCCCUACGGGUUGUAAACUUCUUUUAUAAAGGAAUAAAGUGAGGCACGUGUGCCUUUUUGUAUGUACUUUAUGAAUAAGGAUAGGCUAACUCCGUGCCAGCCGCCGCGGUAAUACGGAGGAUCCGAGCGUUAUCCGGAUUUAUUGGGUUUAAAGGGAGCGUAGAUGGGUUGUUAAGUCAGUUGUGAAAGUUUGCGGCUCAACCGUAAAAUUGCAAUUGAUACUGGCAGCCUUGAGUAAGGUUGAGGUAAGCGGAAUUCGUGGUGAAGCGGUGAAAUGCUUAGAUAUCACGAAGAACUCCGAUUGCGAAGGUAGCUUACUAAACUGCCACUGACAUUGAUGCUCGAAAGUGUGGGUAUCAAACAGGAUUAGAUACCCUAGUAGUC